rnacentral:lncRNA from 1 species
GAGGUUGAAUUUUGUCAUGACAUUUAAUCUCCGGAGAUAUUUGAAAUCAAUUUAUACCUUAUUUAGGUAGGCCGGCCUUAAAUUUAUUUGUAGCACUUGUGCAUGUCCUUCAGGGACAUCAAUUUUAAUCAAGGUAUUUCCUGCAGGAACAGUUGAUUGAAUAACUCUUCUGGAGUCAAUAAUAUAUCUGACAACUGGUUUGCAAUUUUCUGCAAAUGAAUAAUUUCUUGAACUUCCAGUUCACGUUAUUUUGUAUGAGGAUCGAGGAAAUCCAAUUUUUCAGGUGAUUUCCUUUCGGUUGAUUUCUUCCUCCCCC